rnacentral:lncRNA from 1 species
UCGUGGUAUCCGGUUAGAAUCAGGUGAAAGCGACGGGAGAGAUGAAAAUAGCUUUGCAACCCACAGUACCGCCCACAGAAAAGCACAAAUGACUGAUGAGCCGUUCUGCUCCCAGGAUCAGGAGAUGCAGGCAUUUGCUUCAUCUUCAGCUUCUAGUACAGUACCAGCAACACUACUUACAGGACAGGAGGAACUACUGCACCAAAUAAUAUGGAGCUGAGGGAGGAGGAGGAAGACUUAGGAGAUUCCUUGUGAAGCAGAGACCUGGUUGGGCAAAAUAUAGAAGGUCAAAAUACCAAACGUAGGAAGGCACAGCCUAAUACAUUUGAGUGGAUUCACCCUUUCACUGUCUCCUGUCUCCCAGAGGCUCCACUGAGCCCCUGUGAAUUGUAGGACACACUUGGUACAUGUGAUGGCUAUGCCUGCUAUUUCCAUUGGAAGCCAUAGGAUUGUGAAAGAAACAUACAGGAAAAAAAACCGAACAUCAGGUACAUGGGUAACAUCAAGCAUUCAACAUCUGAGCAAUUCAAGCAAGGGUCAGGAACUGGCCUAUUCCAAAGCCUGCCCAAGGCCCUGAAGGAAACUAGCAAAACCCUUCAGGGAAUAAAAAUUGGACUUUGAUGAGUCUGGAUUUGGCU